AUCCUUUAGUAGUUCAUAAGCGCAAUGAUUGGGUUGCGCAUGCGUGAGAUGUGCAGCCCCCAAACCUUGUUACCACAAGGUGGGCACAAGCCCGUCUGACG